rnacentral:rRNA from 1 species
UACGUAGGGUGCAAGCGUUAAUCGGAAUUACUGGGCGUAAAGCGUGCGCAGGCGGUGAUGUAAGACAGAUGUGAAAUCCCCGGGCUCAACCUGGGAACUGCAUUUGUGACUGCAUCGCUGGAGUACGGCAGAGGGGGAUGGAAUUCCGCGUGUAGCAGUGAAGUGCGUAGAUAUGCGGAGGAACACCGAUGGCGAAGGCAAUCCCCUGGGCCUGUACUGACGCUCAUGCACGAAAGCGUGGGGAGCAAACAGG